rnacentral:lncRNA from 1 species
UUUCUUCGGACCUCUCAAUACCCCAUUCGAAGUUGUUGAUGAUGGAAUAGGUGAUCUACAUUGUCGCGACCACCCCAACAUCGCCGGCUUGAUACUUUCGAAAGAAGAGGGGAGGGGAAUCUUUGAUUCCCCGUUUCUUCGAACCCUUCAAUAUUUCUUCGAAAAUGUCAAAUCAAAUCCGACGACCGAACAGAUCCGUGCCACCAUCAACAACUUCGCCGACGACAUCUACAACAUCGCCGGUUUGAUACUUUCGAAAGAAGAUGGGAGGGGAAUCUUUGAUUCCCCGUUUCUUCGGACCUUUCAACAUUUCUUCGAAAAUAUCAAAUCAAGUCCGAUGGCCGAACAGAUUCACGCCACCGUCAUCAACUUCACCGACGACAUCUACAGUAUCGCCGGUUUGAUACUUUCGAAAGAAGAGGGGAGGGAAAUUUUUGAUUCCCCGUUUCUUCGGACCCUUAAAUAUUUCUUCGAAGAUGUCAAAUCAAAUUCGAUGACCAAACAGAUCCACGCCACUGUCAUCAACUUCGUCGACGUCAUCUGCAGCAUCGCAAGAAGAGGGGAGGGGAAUCUUUGAUUCCCCGUUUCUUCGGACCCCAAAUCAAAAUUAAAACGGGGAUUUCUUCGGACCCCAAAUCAGAACCAAACGGAAAUUUCUUCGGACCCCAAAUCAAAAUUAAAACGGGGAUUUCUUUAGACCCCAAAUCAAGAUCAAACGGAGAUUUCUUCGGACCCCAAAUCAAAUUGAAAAAUCAAAUCUAA